GUGAACGCUGGCGGUAGGCCUAACACAUGCAAGUCGAACGGCAGCACAGUAAGAGCUUGCUCUUCCGGGUGGCGAGUGGCGGACGGGUGAGGAAUACAUCGGAAUCUACUUUUUCGUGGGGGAUAACGUAGGGAAACUUACGCUAAUACCGCAUACGACCUACGGGUGAAAGCAGGGGAUCUUCGGACCUUGCGCGAUUGAAUGAGCCGAUGUCGGAUUAGCUAGUUGGCGGGGUAAAGGCCCACCAAGGCGACGAACCGUAGCUGGUCUGAGAGGAUGAUCAGCCACACUGGAACUGAGACACGGUCCAGACUCCUACGGGAGGCAGCAGUGGGGAAUAUUGGACAAUGGGCGCAAGCCUGAUCCAGCCAUACCGCGUGGGUGAAGAAGGCCUUCGGGUUGUAAAGCCCUUUUGUUGGGAAAGAAAAGCAGCAGGUUAAUACCCCGCUGUUCUGACGGUACCCAAAGAAUAAGCACCGGCUAACUUCGUG
rnacentral:rRNA from 1 species